rnacentral:rRNA from 1 species
AGAGAUGUGUGAUGACGCAUAUCAAUAAGCGGAGGAAAAGAAACUAACAAGGAUUCCCCUAGUAACGGCGAGUGAAGCGGGAAGAGCUCAAAUUUGAAAUCUUCAAGGUUCUACCUUGACGAAUUGUAGUUUAUAGAAGUGUUUUCUGUUAGUGGAGUGGCAAAAGUUCUUUGGAAUAGGACAUCAUAGAGGGUGAGAAUCCCGUAUUUGGUCAUUCCUCCUAGCGUUGUGAUACACUUUCAACGAGUCGGAUUGUUUGGGAAUGCAGUCCAAAAUGGGUGGUAAAUUUCAUCUAAAGCUAAAUAUUGGCGAGAGACCGAUAGCGAACAAGUACCGUGAGGGAAAGAUGAAAAGAACUUUGAAAAGAGAGUUAAACAGUACGUGAAAUUGUCAAAAGGGAAGCGUUUGACACCAGUGUUGUUUUUCCGAAAAUCAAUUACGAAUGUUUUAGUUUUUGAGGAGUUAUGACUUCAUCGGCUUGCUCCUUUCUUUAUGAAACUUUCUUAAUGCACUUUUCGGUUAACAAGUCAACAUCAAUUUCUUUUGUUGUAAAAGGGUAUGAGGAAGGUGGCUUUCUUUUCGGAGAAAGUGUUUAUAGCCUUGUGCCUCUGCAAUCGGAGAGAUUGAGGUCUGCAGCGUAGAUCCUUCGGGGUUAGAUACAUUUGUGCUAAGUUAUAGCUUUUCAUAGACAACUUGUUGACUAUGUUAAGUCUUGUAGCUUACUCGCUUAUGCUAUUUUACCUACGCUUAGGAUGUUGACGAUCAGCUGAGCGCG